rnacentral:lncRNA from 1 species
GUUAGCAUCCCAAAACUUGACAGAGGAACCAUCAGCUGUUGUUAUGUAUCGACCAUCCUGACUUACUUCAGCACUCGUUACAGGAAACUUGGUUUCAAGGGUUUGAACAACUUUAUUACUAUUAUUGUGCCUUGUUUGGUUCCUGACUUACUUCAGCACUCGUUACAGGAAACUUGGUUUCAAGGGUUUGAACAACUUUGCCACUCCUCACAUCCCAUAACCUAGGUUACAAGAAUUCAGUCAAGAUUAAGAUAGUGAACAGAUUGAUACAGGAACAUUGGGAAAGAAAUUAGCAUUUCCUUGCAGCCCAGAAGACUUAUACACAGGGAAAGAGAAAGUUCAUGACAGAAAUAUGAACCAUAUGUGUGGCCUUUAUAGCUAUCCGGUUACUUGGAUUUGUAUCUUGGCUAUUGCAAAAUUACCGGAUAGCUAUAAAGGCCACACUCGAUAACUUCAAGUGCCCGUGAACACUGACCACAUGAAUAAUACAACCAGAAGAAGAAUGAAAUGAACAAAACAGACAGCCAGUCCUUAAAUUCUGAAGGUCUACCUCAAUCCACCUGCAUCACCAGAGGAACUCAAUAAAGUUUGAUCACUGUGUAACCAAGCAACUGUCCUAACUGAACCAGGAGAGCUGUCAAUUUCCCUUGGAGGUGCAUCAAGUCGGUUUAGAUCAUAUAUCCGAAGAAUUUUUUCAAAACCACCAGUGAGUAGCAGAUGUGUAUCCUACAAAGUCGUCACACAAUAGUAGUUCAUAUAAACUAUCAAAACAUAAGAGAUUGAAUACAGAAGAUUACUCAGAACCUUAAAAAAUGUAUAUUCUUUUAACACUGAAAAAAUCUUUGUCAUCCAAUGGAAGCAGCAUGUCAUGACUCAGCAGUAAUUGAAUUUGGCAUUCACUACUUUUUAUUUUUCUUAGGCUAAAAUAAGGAGGUUUUCUAUUAGCACCCAAGGAUGUGGCCUCGCGAUCAAUGAGGGAUGAAAUCCAUUGGAGACCAAGAUUUAUAUCCUAGUGGAGGCUAAAGACGAUAAGUGAUUUCUAGCAAUCUGUCCAGGCCUUGGUUGAAAGAGUUACUAGUGGGAGGUAAAAAAUACCUGGUUUAAUAGUCGAGGUGCACACAAGUUGGCACAGAUACUAAUCUUAAAAAUGAGAUGUUCUAUCAAACCCCUAAGUUGAUUUAGUACGGGUAAUUUAGGGGCUUCUUUAUUUUCAUUGAAACAAUCAAAAUGAAUUUGGAGUCAGUUGCAAGUUUACGAGCAUUGAAAAAGUGUAACCACAAAGAAAAAACUUGAGAAGGAUAGGACUACAACUGGAACAUGGGAUUUCAUGUAAUCAACAACAACAACAACAAAGUAUAGUCCCACAAAGUGGGGUCUGGGGAGGGUAAUAUGUAGACGGGCCUUACCCCUACCCNNNNNNNNNNNNNNNNNNNNNNNNNNNNNNNNNNNNNNNNNNNNNNNNNNNNNNNNNNNNNNNNNNNNNNNNNNNNNNNNNNNNAGGUUGUUUCCAAUCGACCCUCGGCUCAGUGAAGGAAAGGAAAAACAAAAACAAAAACAAAAACAAAAGAGCAUUAGUAACUCCAGCAGAAAUAACGUUAAUAAUUAUCUAAACAUAAGAACCAUAGAUAAAAUAGGAUGCAAUAAUAUUAGACAGUGACUACCAUAAAUAACUACCAUAAGGGAGACACAAUCCAAUACACAAAUCAUCUCUGGAUAGCCCUGCCAAGCAUCACCCAACCCCGGGUAAGGAGUACGAAAAACUCUAGGGGCCCCUAUCCUACGACCCUGAUACUAGACCUCCAUACUUUCCUAUCAAGAACCAUGUCCUUGGAAACCCGCAUACUAGCCAUGUCAUGCCUAAUCACCUCUCCCCAAUACCUCUUAGACCUCCCUUUGCCUCGCCGAACGCUGACCAUCGCCAGCUGCUCACAACUCCUCACUGAGGCAUCAAGACUUCUCCUCCGCACAUUUCCGAACCACCUCAGCCUCGCUUCUCGCAUCUUCUCAUCCACCGGGGCCAGCCCCACCUUCUCUCGUAUAACUUAAUUCUUAAUCUUAGCUAAUCUGGUGAGCCCGCACAUCCACCUGAGCAUCCUCAUCUCCGCAACCUUCAUUCUCUGAACAUGAGAGUUCUUAUCUGGCCAGCACUCCGCCCCAUACAUGGCCAGUACUCUGCCCCAUACAACAUGGCAGGUCUAACCACAGCUCUAUAAAAUUUUCCCUUGGGAUUUCAUGUAAUCCUUCAACUAAAAUUGGAUUUCUAUAAGGGUAUCUGUUACAUUCACAGUAUGUUGUUUAAAUCCAUAUCUUAAUACAGGAGACAGUCACAGCUUAAUAGAACAAUCCUUUGAGAUGAUGUUAGAUCUGCAAUCCCAUAGUGCCAGCGAGUUCCCUCCCAAACACAGACAUUCUAAACUAAUAAGCAGAGUUUCCAUUGUCACAACUUGAGUACUAUGACUUAAGUGAAGUUCUAAUCUCUUAACCUGAAGGAACUAUAAAACAAUAAAGGAAAAAUGGUUGUAAUGGUACCUCUGAAAAGGCACAUGCUCGAACUAUGUGCUUGUGGUCAAAUGAAUGUAAAACAUCUCCAGUCAAUGCAUCCCACAAUUUCCUGAAAACAACCAACUCAAAACACAAUAUAGAAAACAAAAGGAUGAUAUAUACAGCAAAGGAAAAUUCUAAAAAGGAUUACCAAGAUUCUACUGUGUCUGCUAUUAGAUUAGCUAUUAAACCUGUUUUAACUAAUAACAUGCUAGGUUGGCCAAUAAUAAACAUGCUACAAUAGCACUUCUAUUGUUCUACAUCACUUCCCUAAUGACAGAUGUCAGCAUAUAAAUAUGGUCGCUUAAAUGGUUAUUUCCAAAGUAUGAGAUAACAUACGCGCUGAAAUCAGCAGAUGCAGAUGCAGCACGGAGAGCAUGUUUAUCCAGACAACAACUCCACACAGCUCCUUUAUGCCCUUCAAAUGUUCCAAUCCAAUCUCCAGUUUCUCCAUUUCUCAACAUUGGUGUAGAAUCUACAUGAUCGGAAUAUUUCAGAAGGUAAUACAAAUAACAACAGCACAAAUACUUAUUGCAGUAAAUGAACAUAUAUUAGAAGAAAAAGAGCAACAGGAAAAAAUCUUUUUCGGUUAGAUGGUAACACUCAGGAAUAACUUAGUUGUUUUUUUUUUUUUUUUGUGCUUGUGGUUGAGCUCCUGAGACUGGUCGUGAAAAGUCUGAGGCUAUUGAGAAAUCAGAAGGGGGUUCACCUACCAUUCUGCUCACAAAUAAGGUGAAAAAAUAGGCAUGCAUAAAAUGGCUUGCCUGAUCACUGACAAAUACUAGGAAUAAAAUCCAAAGGCUAUUGACAACACGAAAUACCAUGAGCUGCAGAAUACCCAUCAUUCUAUUCACCAAGAGUUAGAAGAUUUGGCGAAAAAACUAGGCAUAAAAAGUAUUUAAGAUGAUAACGAAUGCCAUGCCGACGCCUACCUUAGAACCAUCGCACUGAGUAAUAUUUUGAUAGAAUUGAAUGCCGAUAAAAGCAUUAAGGUUUACAUUUCGAGAGUUUGAUAACAUCUGCAAGUAAAUCAAGUUUGCAUUUCAAAGUAACCACUUAGACUUGAUAAGAACAUUUUCGAAAUUUUCCUUCUGAAUUCUAUGACGAUGUAAAUUCCUUUAGAUUGAAUAAUAAUCUCUUUUGGGCUUUUCCUAGAUUCCUGCUUCUAGUAUUUCUAUCUCUAAGCAAACACAUAAAUUAGAGUUUAACAAAAACACCUAAAUUUGAUACUACUCUAUCUGCUCAAAAACACCCACACACGUACACACAUAAAAAGGCAAUGAACAUACUAUAUACUAUAUUAGUAUACGUAUCCGCACUUCAGAAUCAAACGGCUCAUUCAUUACUGACUGUCCGGAAAAUGUUUGAUCAAGAUAAUGUAAUGCACUUGUGUCAAAUUCACUCAAUGCUUCAAUAUGUUAUCACAACUACCAAAUGGUAUAAAAAAGGAUCAAAAGAAUUACCCUUGCUGGCACUGAUGAGAAAGAAUCCAUCAGGAGUGAUUGGGCUGUAGAACAGAUCAACGACGGGCCGAGAAUGCCCAUGGCAUACAAGCGGUGCCACUGCCUUCUUUUUAUCCAUAUUAAAUCAAAUAAAAGCCCUAACAAUAUUAUAAUAUCAAGGAGAAACCCAACCCAGCGCCGAAUAUGAUGAAAAUGAAAUUGAUCAAAAAGUCCCCAAAUUAAACAAACCGACAAUUGACCGAUAACAAAAAAAUUACGCACAAUUGCCUUCACCGAUUUGUGACAUUAAAAGGAUCAAACACUAAUAAAACAAAAAAUCAAAAGAUCUACAAAUCACAAAUAGAGAAAUAUAUGUAUGUAUAGAUGUAUAAUAGGUGGGGAACUGGCGCGAUGAAUAAAGGUGGGAAACCCUAAUUUUUGAGAUUUGAUGUUUCUAGGAUGGAUCCACACCUUUUUCUAACCCUAUCAACUCAUAUAAAAAGAAGGUCCCAAGGAUAGAUCAGAGCUCGGAAUUAUUGGGCAAAAUUAGAAAAAAGAAAUCAUAUAAAAAGAAGGUCCUAAGGAUAGAUCAGAACUCGGGAAUUAUUGGACAAAAUUAGAAAAAAGAAAAAAAUACAAGAAAAAUAAAAAUCAUACUGAACUAUAGGGUUUGGCUGGCGCAGAGAAGACAAUGCGGC